CCAGCUCCAAUAGCGUAUAUUUAAGUUGUUGCAGUUAAAAAGCUCGUAGUUGGAUUUCGGGCGGCGCUGCCGGUCCGCCGUUUCGGUGUGUACUGGUCGGCGCCGUCUUCCUGGCGAGGAUCCGUUCUGUCCUUAACUGGGCGGGCGGAGAGUCGCCGCUGUUACUUUGAAAAAAUUAGAGUGUUCAAAGCGGGCUUACGCUUGAAUAUAUUAGCAUGGAAUAACACGAUAGGACUCCGGCCCUAUUUUGUUGGUCUUCAGGACUGGAGUAAUGAUUAAGAGGAACAGUUGGGGGCAUUCGUAUUUCAUUGUCAGAGGUGAAAUUCUUGGAUUUAUGAAAGACGAACUUCUGCGAAAGCAUUUGCCAAGGAUGUUUUCA
rnacentral:rRNA from 1 species